rnacentral:rRNA from 1 species
AACGAACGCUGGCGGCAUGCCUAACACAUGCAAGUCGAACGAGCCCUUCGGGUCUAGUGGCGCACGGGUGCGUAACGCGUGGGAACCUGCCUUUAGGUUCGGAAUAACUCAGAGAAAUUUGAGCUAAUACCGGAUGAUGUCUUCGGACCAAAGAUUUAUCGCCUUUAGAUGGGCCCGCGUUGGAUUAGCUAGUUGGUGGGGUAAAGGCCUACCAAGGCGACGAUCCAUAGCUGGUCUGAGAGGAUGAUCAGCCACAUUGGGACUGAGACACGGCCCAGACUCCUACGGGAGGCAGCAGUGGGGAAUAUUGCGCAAUGGGCGAAAGCCUGAUCCAGCAAUGCCGCGUGAAUGAUGAAGGUCUUAGGAUUGUAAAGCUCUUUUACCCGAGAUGAUAAUGACGGUAUCGGGAGAAGAAGCUCCGGCUAACUCCGUG